rnacentral:rRNA from 1 species
GAUGAACGCUGGCAGCAUGCUUAACACAUGCAAGUCAACUGUGGCGGACGGGUGAGUAACGCGUAAAGAACUUGCCUCACAGAUAGGGACAACAUUUGGAAACGAAUUCUAAUAUCUGAAACUGUGAGAGAGCUUUGCGUCCCAUUAGCUAGUUGGAGAGGUAACGGCUCACGAAGGCGAUGAUGGGUAGCCGGCCUGGGAGGGUGAUCGGCCACAAGGGGACAGGGAAACGGCCCGUACGCAUACUGGAGGCAGCAGUGGGGAAUAUUGGACAAUGGACCAAAGUCUGAUCCAGCAAUUCUGUGUGCACGAUGAAUUUUUCGGAAUGUAAAGUGCUUUCAGUUGGAAAGCGGUACCAACAGAAGAAGUGACGGCUAACUACGUGCCAGCAGCCGCGGUAAUUC